rnacentral:rRNA from 1 species
UGGUUUUGAGAUAUUUAGAGUUAAACAUCCUUGAGUUUGAAUAGUACUGGGUUGGGUGACCUCCCGGGAAGUCCAAACUCAGGAGCUC